UACGUAGGGGGCAAGCGUUGUCCGGAAUUAUUGGGCGUAAAGAGCGUGUAGGCGGCCAGAUAAGUCCGCUGUGAAAUCUCGAGGCUCAACUUCGAGCUGUCGGUGGAAACUAUCUGGCUAGAGUCCGGAAGAGGAGAAUGGAAUUCCUGGUGUAGCGGUGAAAUGCGCAGAUAUCAGGAAGAACACCCGUGGCGAAGGCGGCUAUCUGGCCAUGUACUGACACUGAGACACGAAAGCGUGGGGAGCAAACAGG
rnacentral:rRNA from 1 species